rnacentral:rRNA from 1 species
GAUAAAAAACGAUGCAUUAUAUGGAUGCCCGAGCAUUGAUAAAGAAGGAUGCUUUCAGAGGUGAAAGGCCAUGGGGAGAUAUGGAUCUCCAAUGGGAAACUGUAUCCAAGUUUCAUGUCUAGUCUGUGCUCUUUGGAGUUUUCAAACUAAGAGAACUGAAACAUCUUAGUAGCUAAAGUAAGGGAAAUAAUCCAAGACCCCGUUAGCAGAGGCAAGCAAGAGCGGAUUGGGGGUUUGAAGAAAAACAAACAAGAAGCUUCGUUCCUCUCGUUUUAGGAGAGUAACUUCAUUAUCCAACAAAGUGAUCACUGUUUUUCACCAGGUUUCAUUUGAUUUGUUGUGGAUUGGAUGAUGGAAAAACCAGCAAGCUAUGGCUUCAAAGCUUACCUUAUUUUAAAAAGGAUAAAGGUUUUUUUUUUUAUAGAUGUUGAGGUUGAGUAAGGGGGCAGAGCUUGAAAAGUGAAGCGAGUCGUGCUAGCCUAGCAAUGUUUUUCAGCAGCAAGUUACAGCUUAAUGGCCCCCUUACUUAGUUUGGGGAGAUAAAUCCAAAAUCCAAAACGUUGGUUAAGGUUCCUAUCAUUUUAGGCAAGCUACUUCAUUCCAAACCUUUCUCUAAUAAUUAGGUAAGCUUUCGAGCAACCUCCUUUAAUGGAGCGGGUGCAGUGAACUAUAAUUGUGAAAAGAUUUGAAGAUUUGGCCAAAAAAGGUGAUAGCCUUAUAGAUUCGUUCCCAUGGUUUGAUCCUUCUUAGUAAAAUAAGGUGUGUUUGAAUUCUUAUCAUUUUUAUGAGAGAAAGGGGGACUACCCUAUAAGACUAUGUAUUCCUUAAUGACCGAUAGCAUACAAGUACCAUGAAGGAAAGGCAAAAAGAACACUAUUUAUGGAGUGCAAUAGAGAACCUAAGAUCUGAUAUGAAUAAUCAGUCAAAGAAGAAGAGCUUAGAGCCUUUACUUUAUUUAUAGGGCACUUAGUCUAACGGCCUACCUUUUGCAUUUUAGGUUAGCAAAGAAAUGGGAAAAACAGCUUAAGCCAUUAGGUGUAGGCACUUUCUAGAGGUGGAAUCUUCUAGUUGUUUCUAUUUAACCCAAAAUCAACCAAUCUAGCCAUGAGCAGGUUUAAGAGAGCUCUAACAUUCCUUGGAAGGCCAAACCCAUGUAUGUGGAAAAUUAUAGGGAUGACUUGUGGCUAAGGUUGAAAGGCCAACCAUGAUGGGAUAUAGUUGGUUUUCUGCUAAAUCUAGUUUAGUAGAGCGUAUGAUGUAGAUGGCCUGAGGUAGAGCACUCAAUAGACUAGAGUAGCCUCAUUCCACCUUACCAACCACAGGGAAACUCCGAAUACAGUCCUAGAUCUCUGAAUAUAGGCCUAGAUCACUUGUACAGAUAGAGUUUUUGGGUGCUAAGAUCCAAAGUUGAGUGGGAAACAAUCUAGAUCACACGGUAAGGUCCCUAAGCAAUCAAUUAAUAGAAAAGUAAGUGAUCAAGCGAUGACAAGUAGAAGGUGGAAUUAGAAGUAACCAUCCUUUAAAGAAAAUUUAGUAGCUCACUAGUCUAGCUCCAAGCGACCAAAAAUGUUUCAGGCAUCAAGUGAUUUAUUGGAAAGCUUCUUUUUCAAGUGUUAGUAGCAGAAUAUUCUGUCAAUCAGAGAAUGUUUUUGGUGAAAAGACCUGGAGAUAUCAAAAGUGAGAAGUUGGCAUGAGUAACAAAAAUCCCUAUAAAAAAUAGAUCGCCUACCAGUGGAAGGUUUUUUGUGUUUAUUCAAUCUACGAAGAGUGAAUCUGUCCCAAAGGAACCCUCAAAAGGUCCUAGUCUGAUGGGUACACAAAAGUGACAAAGUUACUAUGACUACAAAACCAUUCCUGUCUGUUGGAGUGAAUUAGAUGUUUGGGGCGAGGAUGCCCCCUCUUCUCCUCACUAUACUUUCCCUAAUAUGAACCUUGAGUCAUCAAAGCCUUUUUGGCUCAGUCAAGCCUGAUCUCCCUACGCGACUGGUGCUUCAAAAGGUAAAACUCUCAGUCGUAGUUUGGUGACCUAUCUUCAGUGGGGUCCUUUAGUGUUUUAAUUAUAGUAGGGGUCACGAGAGAGUAGAGCAUACUAGUCUGCCAUAGUCAUGAGUCUAUUUAUUGUCACGACUGUUGUCCUAAUCAACAAGGUUGAAACUUCUAGGAAAAAACUUUUAAUUGGGAGUGCGAUCCUCUCGGUGAUCUGACCAUAACCCAAACUGAGAUAGGUGAAAAAGUAGAGUAUACUAGGGUGCUUGAGAGAACCAUGUCAAAGCAACUUGAUAAAAUGACCUAGUAACUUCAGGAGAAGGGGUGCUCUCCUAUAUUUUGAUUAGAAAAGCAGCACAUACCAGGGGGUAGCGACUGUUUAUUAAAAACACAGGACUCUGCUAAGUGGUCAAAUGAUGUAUAGAGUCUGACACCUUCCUAGUACUGGAAGGUCAGAAAGAGAAGUGUUAUAAGUUUUAAAUAGAAGCCCCAGUAAAUGACAAUAGUAACUCUAAUUGUCCUAAGGUAGAAAAAUUCCUCGUUGCAUAAAUAGUAACCCGUACGAAUUAUGUAACGACUGCCCCACCGUCUCUGACAUGGACCUGAUAAAAUUGAAUUCUCCGUGAAAAAGUGGAGUACUAAAGGCUAGACGGUAUGACCCCGUGCACCUUAACUAUAGAUUCAUAGUGACAACCUCAAUCAAAUAUGUAGGGUAGGUGGGAGGUGGUAACACACAAUGACCAACAUUGAAAGAUCACUUCUUUAUCUAAGUAUGCCUAACUUCCACACUAAUCAUUCAGAAGGAGUAAAGACACUGUGAGAUGGGUAGUUUAUCUGGGGCGGAUGCCUCAUAAAGAGUAGCGGAAGUAUCCAAAGGUCGGCUCAAGCUAAGAUUCUACUCGUGAGAAUAAUGGUUUAAGCCUAUGUGACUGUGAGACCGACUGGUCACACAGAGAUAAAAGUCGGCCAUAGUGAAAUGGGAGUCCUGUGUGGAAGGGCUCUUGCUCAAUGGAUUAAAGGUACAUCAGGGAUAAUAGGAUGAUGACUCCCAAGAGCUCUUAUCGACAGAUUCGAUUGGCACCUCGAUGUCAAUUCAUCAUAUCUUGGGGUUAAAGAAGGUCCCAGGGGUUUGGUUGUUCGCUAAUUCAAGUGGUACAUGAUUUUGGUUUAGAACGUCGUGAGACAGUUUAGUUCCUAUCUACCAUUGGCGUGAAAUGGAGAGAAGGAAAGAGCCAACCCUAGUACGAGAGAAAUGGAUUGGGAUAAACUAUGGUGCACUACUUGUUAUACCAAUAACAGUACCGAGCAACUAAGUUGGUAUGGAAUAACUGCUAAGCCACGAGAAAUCCUUCUCUAUACAAGUUCUAGGAUGAGGUUUUUGAAUAGAACUUUGAUGGGUGAGAGGUAUAAGCACUACGAGGUGUAAAUUGAUCUCGUACUAAACAAAAUAACUAUCAC